UGGGGAAUUUUGCACAAUGGGCGCAAGCCUGAUGCAGCGACGCCGCGUGAGGGAUGAAGGCCUUCGGGUUGUAAACCCUUUUCGCUCAUGGUCAAGCCGCAGCUUUGGGUUGUGGUGAGGGUAGUGGGUAAAGAAGCGCCGGCUAACUACGUGCCAGCAGCCGCGGUAAUACGUAGGGCGCGAGCGUUGUCCGGAAUUAUUGGGCGUAAAGGGCUUGUAGGCGGUUGGCCGCGUCUGCCGUGAAAUCCUCUGGCUUAACUGGGGGCGUGCGGUGGGUACGGGUUGACUUGAGUGCGGUAGGGGAGACUGGAAUUCCUGGUGUAGCGGUGGAAUGCGCAGAUAUCAGGAGGAACACCGGUGGCGAAGGCGGGUCUCUGGGCCGUUACUGACGCUGAGGAGCGAAAGCGUGGGGAGCGAACAGG
rnacentral:rRNA from 1 species